UGCGUAGGUGGUUGUUUAAGUCUGUUGUGAAAGCCCUGGGCUCAACCUGGGAACUGCAGUGGAAACUGGACGACUAGAGUGUGGUAGAGGGUAGCGGAAUUCCUGGUGUAGCAGUGAAAUGCGUAGAGAUCAGGAGGAACAUCCAUGGCGAAGGCAGCUACCUGGACCAACACUGACACUGAGGCACGAAAGCGUGGGGAGCAAACA
rnacentral:rRNA from 1 species